UAAAAUGAAGCAGAAAAUUUGCAUCUUAUUUACAUUAAGAAGGAAUUUAAUUAAUAAACAUUUUAA
rnacentral:tRNA from 1 species